rnacentral:rRNA from 1 species
CAGCAGCCGCGGGAAUACAGAGGGUGCGAGCGUUAAUCGGAUUUACUGGGCGUAAAGCGUGCGUAGGCGGCUUUUUAAGUCGGAUGUGAAAUCCCUGAGCUUAACUUAGGAAUUGCAUUCGAUACUGGGAAGCUAGAGUAUGGGAGAGGAUGGUAGAAUUCCAGGUGUAGCGGAGAAAUGCGUAGAGAUCUGGAGGAAUACCGAUGGCGAAGGCAGCCAUCUGGCCUAAUACUGACGCUGAGGUACGAAAGCGUGGGGAGCAAACAGGAUUAGAUACCCCUGUAGUCCCUGUCUCUUAUAC